rnacentral:rRNA from 1 species
UGGGGAAUAUUGGACAAUGGGCGGAAGCCUGAUCCAGCCAUGCCGCGUGUGUGAAGAAGGUCUUCGGAUUGUAAAGCACUUUAAGUUGGGAGGAAGGGCAUUAACCUAAUACGUUAUUGUUUUGACGUUACCGACAGAAUAAGCACCGGCUAACUCUGUGCCAGCAGCCGCGGUAAUACAGAGGGUGCAAGCGUUAAUCGGAAUUACUGGGCGUAAAGCGCGCGUAGGUGGUUUGUUAAGUUGGAUGUGAAAUCCCCAGGCUCAACCUGGGAACUGCAUUCAAAACUGACUGACUAGAGUAUGGUAGAGGGUGGUGGAAUUUCCUGUGUAGCGGUGAAAUGCGUAGAUAUAGGAAGGAACACCAGUGGCGAAGGCGACCACCUGGACUAAUACUGACACUGAGGUGCGAAAGCGUGGGGAGCAAACA